AGUCACUGACAUUAGAUACCCUGUAGUCCAGGGUGUAAACGCUGCAGACUUGGUGUUGGAAGUCCUUUGGGGGCAUUCAGUGCCGGAGAGAAGUUGUUAAGUCUGCUACUUGGGAGUACGUCCGCAAGGAUGAACUUAAAGGAAUUGGCGGGGGAGCACCGCAACGGGGGGAGCGUGCGGUUUAAUUGGAUUCAACACCGUAAAACUCACCAGGGAAGACUGUUACAUGAAAGCCGAGAUGAAGACUCUGCUAGAUUUUCAG
rnacentral:rRNA from 1 species